UUGAGCUCCAAAUGCAGUCCUUAUCCCUGUUAGGACCGACCUUGGGGUACCCCACCCCCGCCCCCGCCCCGGCUUUGCAGGAAGGGCCAACUCCUCAUUGCCAGGACUCGAACUCAUGAUCCCAGUCUUGCCAGGCAAGCGCUUAUGCUGCUGAGCUACAUCCCCGGCCCCUGUGCUCCAAUCUUGUACCUGAGCAGCAGUCCACCCAGAUGCUGGUCAUGCCAGAGUCAGGUCGUGUAAAUGGAGCCAUGGGCUGUGGCCCGGGCUUCUGGACUGAAAGAAGUAAAAUGCCUAAAUCCCUGAGAGUGGUGCGGCAGGCUUGAGAUCUCAGAACUCAGGAGGCUGAGGCCGGAGGAUCACCAAGACUUCGAGAGUUCGAGGCCAGCCGGGACUACAUAGUGAGACCCUGUCUCAAAAACAAACAAACAAAAAACGAUAAAAAUAUAACCCCUACAUCCUACAAGAAGAGCCAGAUUUGUUUUGUUUUGUUUUAGUACUGGUGAUUGAACUCAGGGCUUUUGCCUGCC